AUUGCUAUUUGUUACUAAAAUUACAUUCAUUCUGUAAAAAAAUAAUGAAAAAUAUUUUUUUAUUUUUUUUUUAUUUGGGACGCAUGAAUGGGAUUUACAUUAAUUUCAACGUGUAAGUUCGUUUUGGUUUAUGAGUGUUUUGGUGUGCGGGCAAAGUUUUGAAACGAAUUAAACUCGUAAACCGAGGUUUGACUAUACAGUCGUCCCUCAAAUAGUACAGUUUCCAAUAGUACGUUUUUGGUUUUAUACAGAUUGUCAUGGAAGAUUUUUUUUAGGAUUUUUAAAUUUUCCGCUUAUCAAACCAAGUAGCCAUGGCAUGAGUGGCAACACUGUUCUACCAAAACACACACUGAAAGCACCCCAAAGCGUUCGAGAUAGGUGUUCACCUUGCAGAAGAAUUCAGAUUUAGAAGCUAUGUUUUGGGGCGAGUUAUGUUGCCGUAGGGAGAGCAUACCAUGUGAAUGAGAGCAGUGUUCGCUGUAUCUAUUAUCUAUGUCUUGGUUUUGGUUCGGGAUGUAGUUGUCCCUUUCGGUCCCAACUACAGCCUUUGAAAUGGCUUACUCCCUCAGGGCCAACACCCUGAAAAUCAGUGUAAAAGAAAUUCUUGCCACAGUAACUGCCAGUGCUCCAAGAGUGCGGUAAGAGUGGAGAUAAAGGCCAUUAUUUUACUAAGCCUCGUUGUUGCUAUGGUAACGGCAUCUUACUUGCAGCAAAGUGGCGUACGCUGAUCUUCCUGGUGACAUUUAACAUGCAUUACUAGCUGUCCUGGCUGACGAACUCUUUACAACGGAUGAAAAGGAAGCUGCAGUGGUUAUAGUGGCACAGAGAUGUGAAAUGCAAUGGAAACACUUAUAUGUGUUUGUUUGGGCCGCCAUAUUUGCUGAUGACGUCAUCACAGCAUGAAGGUGCUCUGCCUCUCAAAGUCGGGAGCGAGUGGACGUGCCAAGUUGGCAAUUCGUGCUGCCGCGUCACUCGUUUGAGAGCACUCGGGACGUUCCGAGAGUCCCAGUUCCCUCUCUCAAACGCAGCCCAGGAGUGUUUCUAAGGGGGGCACUAAUUUUAUACGGAUUUUCAAAUAGUACGGGGAUCCUGGGUCCCUAACCCCCGUACUAUUUGAGGGAUGACUGUAUAUAUAUUUAUAUAUAAAUUAUACAUAAGCAUGCAUAAAAAGAAUUCACACACCUUACAUAAAAAAUAUGGACAUAAUAUUUACUUGACAACAACUGUAGGAUGCCCUGAUAGUCUGACAGAAAUCAAUAAUUAUUUUAGAAUAGAAACUUUACAGGUCUAGCCUGCAGUGAGUGGCAAAAUACUGUACUGAAACAAAAGGCUGUACAUCAAGGAGGGAAUUAUUGAAUGUUCUUGUUUGGACUUGUCUUAAGUCUCCGGAGUACAAUCCCUGGGAGUAAUGGCAGACAUUGUUGAACACCCAUUUUGACCCUUUGGUUUCUUUUCUUUUCUUUUUUUCUUUACUGUUGAAAUUACCAUCAUUUUUUUUUCUUUGUGAUGGCAAGUUUUCAUAUCUAAAUGGAUACAACGAUGAGGGCAUAAGGAAGGUGAAUGACUUGCUGAGCACACACCACAACAGCAGCAUGAGUCUCAGAUGGUGAUUACAACCGUGACCUACCAGCCCAGUAUUGUGAGAGCUUGAAUGUAACUUCGCGGGAUUACAAAGGACUGCAGGGUGGAAGUAGGCCCACACUGUCCCUUGGAAAUGGGUUUUGUCAGACAUGUAAUCUCAACCAAACCCUUAAAGUGCGGGCUCUGGCGGAUUAUACGCCCAUCCACCCUGACAACUAUGACAAGGAAAUAGAGGAUUACAGAUGCGUGGAGGAAGGGAGCGCGCCAGCGGGCCCUUGUUCCUCUACCCCUAAACUCAUGGAGCGCGCUAAGCCAUCGUAUAAGGGAAUUUUGAAUAACAGCGGUAUCAUAAGAGCCCUGUUCGAUGAGAAGCUUUCUCCGUUGGAAAGUGGUGAUUCAGGGUCUGAGGAGUUAGAAGAUGAAUUAGAACAGAUUGGGGCACAGUCUGUUUCUGUGGCUGCUGUUCACAACACGCUGCCUCGCACCACCACAACACAGUCUUUUCCUGCCUUUCCAAUCACAUCUACUGUCAAUGAAAGUGACGAAGAGCAUGUUGAUGAUCUUGGGAAGGUAAAUGACUCGAGAAGCGAGACAGAGGCUGAGAGAAGUGUGGCUCCAAAACGUAGUUGCCGCUGGCCCUGCCACCAUCAAACGACCUCCCCCACACUUUCAUCUUCCACACCCUCAUCACCCACACCUUCAUCCUCCACACACUCAUCACCCACACCUUCAUCCUCCACACCCUCAUCACCCACACUAUCACCCACACCUCCAUUGUCUGCGUUCACUGCAUCACACCCUUCACCACCUCGACGUAAGAGAGCAUGAGGAUGUGUCCUUGGGACUCGGCGUGGUAUCAGGGGUGGCCGACGUGGUGUUGGUGCCCGUCGUGGGGUUCAUGAUGCUCGUGGUAUGCAACCACAGCAGGUCCGUCAUGAUAAGGAGUUACUUUUAUGUAAGCUACAAACAUGCAUAAUAUGUAGCCUAGUAAGUGUAUAUAUUCUAUAAUUUAUUGUGUUUGUGAAAGCUUUUUUUUGUGCAUAUAAUGGCAAAAAACACAUUCACUUUCGUAAGGAGUUAUUUGUAUGACCAUCAGACAUGCGUAAUAUGUAGCCUAAUAUGAAUAAUUGCAUUGGUAGGAGAGGAUGCAUGCAGUGUGGUGGCGCCGGGCGAGGCAGGAGACCCAGGUCCAGGUCAGCAGCGCCAGCACGAACAAGUGCGCUCGGCUUGGCCAAUAAUAGCACCUCUUCCCAACAUCAUAUCUCUGCUGUGCUACAACCUAGACACUCAAUUUAUUUCAUUGUGGAGAGGAAGGAUUGGCAGUGAGAAAACAGUAUAAAUUAUCAUGUUUUCGUUUGAAAUUGCCACACAGGGCAUUGAUGAAAAACAGCUAUUUUUCCAAAAUUUAUUAACACCGCCCACACGCUGCGAGGACGACAAUAGUCCUCUAGCCCGAUGUCUAUGGGUUAAUUUCAGAAUACAAUAUAGAUGGCUACAGUCUCUUCAACAAAGAUCGCAUCAACCAUAGCCCAUUAUGCCAUAAGCUAUUUGCAACCCACUGAUAGAACACCAAGGAUCAUAUUGAACAUAUGUGGAUGGAAGUAAAUACUGUGAAAAAUAAAAUGAUAAGAAAGGAGAGAGCCAUACAGCUUGAUGGAGGAGUAUAAUGUUGGUUUUAGCACUUUAUGGGCCGCUUUCACAGUCACGUUUGUUUAUGUUGAUCGUCACCAAUGAACGUCGAUCGCUGCUACCAACAAGAAAUCCGCUUUCACAGUCGCCUUUUGCAGCGCUGUUUGUUUGCAUCAGUACCAGAGAUUGGAACCUCUGGUAACAGAGCUCUGGUAGCUGUGGGGGCUCCCCAAUGGAACUCACCAAUGACAUUAAUUAUUAGUAAAUAGUAUAAAUUCUUGCUCUCAAGUGGUUGUUAUUUAUUUAAAUGGAUGUAAAAAAAUAUUAAACAGUACAGCAACACGUUGCAUGGCCUCAAUGGUAAUAAGAGAAAACAAUUAGAAGACUUUGAAUUACGUGAACUCACUUCACCUGCUGACCAGUAAACGUCCUGCUGAGAAUUUCAGUUUGAUUGAUUGUUUAUUGUUGCAAAAUGCACAAUAAAGGAGAAGGGAGGACUUUAAUACUUGUCACCAUUAUUCACUUGUUAUGCCUUCUUGGUCAAACUCUCGUAUUAUUCUCGAUAGCCUCAUGUAUGCUUGCAUAGGGCAUACAUAUAACGAAAUCAGCCCAGUUAUUUAAUGAAUAAACGUGAAGUCUGCUAAAUAAGUGUGAAUAAUGAACAAAUGUAAUGCAAGUGAAGAGACUGUCUUGCUGACAUCUGCUAAAUAAUAGAACAUUAAUAUUUUUUAAUUUUUUAUUUAUUUAUUUAUUUUUUUUUUACGUCACGGCCUAUUGCGCCGGUAGGCUUCUUCCUGGUGGGGCCUGAUGGUCGGCCCAAGGCUUCUUCCCGGUGGGCCCUGAUGGUCGGCCCAGCCUGUUCUUGCGCAGGCGAGUGUUUAUAGUGGCGCCAUCUUGCAUUGGCUCAUGCUGCCCUCCUGGAGCUCAUCUUUAAUUCUAGAAUCUAAAGUCUGGGUUGAUAGGUGGUCUUCUGGACAGCAUGUGGGUAGUUGUAAGCCACUCGGUGGUGGCUGAAAAAUCCCAGCUUGGUGGCACCGGGCAGGGAUUAAACUCGCAUCCUCCUGAACGCUGAAGGAAGUAUUUGGUUAUCAGCAGAUUUGAGCGGUGUAUUACAGCGAGACACUCCACAUUUUUUCAUCAUAUCUAUUCUUCAGUUUUUCUUUAUAUUUAUUUUUCACGUUUACUUUUUGUACGUUUAUUUUUCACAUUUAUCCUUCAUAAUCCUCCGCUCAGCUGAUUUAAUGCUGACAUUUCCCACAGCUCCGUCAUACCAACACUGCUGAAUCACGUGCCUUCGUCUUGUCAUGAUCAUUACCACGCUGGUAGUCACCGAUACCAUGAAAACAGCGACUGUGAAAGCGGAUGGAGGCGAUGGUAACGGCUGCCACCAGGAUGGUAGGGCCUUUGGUUACGGUGCGUACCAGAUGACUGUGAAAGCGGCCCUAUGACAUCAAAACCCAGUCCAAUCAGCUCGAGAUUUUUUUUUUAAGAGCGAGUCCAUUGAGGCCACAGAAAAGCAUGAAACACUACAGGAGCUGAAAAUGGAGGUGUUGGAUCAGGCAUUACCUGAAUGUUUUUGUCUGCAUAGCUAGGUCUGCAGGUGCCAUGCUUUCUGCCCCACCCCUGAUUGAAAAGGCACGUGAAAUACAAGACAUUUAAACAUUUGAAAAGUGUGUUCUCUCAUGAAAGGUUAGAUUGGUUUAAAUCCCUGCAUGGGAUAUGUAAACUAUAGUCUGUCCAAAUAAACUUGGCCAAUUUGCACUGAGAAGCCCCUCCCCCAUACUGGCUAAGCUCCGCCCCCUUUCACCUGAUUGACGGUUCAUGACGUCACAUAUUGUUUCAGAGAUACGUACCAAAUACCGUAUUUUACGGCUUACAAGAUGCACUUUUUUUCCUAAAAAAUACCAUGAAAAAUACUUGUGCGUCUUCCAAGACGAAUGUUGUAUUGUGGCAGCAACGUCCAGGUUCGAGUGAGCUUGGACGGUCACCGUAUUGGCUCGACCGAUAGGGAUGUGGAAUUGUAUGUUGUCAUUACAUUAUGAGAUUAACUUAAGUAACUAUUUAAUUCAGCCUUUUAUAUGAUAUAACCUCAGUACUUACUUGUUACAAGUAUUUCCAAUACCAUAAACCUUCCUGGAGCCAAGCCACAAGCCCAAAUGUGACCCAAACGUCUGUUGUUUAUUGUGCGGCUGGUAGCGGCGGGAGCCAUUCCGCUCUUGAUCUUGAUGGUACAGGUGGCUUAUUUCCAUAGACCAGCAAGCCUUUGGAUCGGCUGUGUUUGGAUCUGCUGUGUUGAUGUGUUGUCUCCUAUGCACUUUUAUGGAAAUAAAACCACCCUUGGACCAUGAAAGAUGUAUGGUAUAUUUACUAACCACCAACUAGUAUGUCAUCGCCAUAUGGACAAAAUCGGACGAGUGAUGAAUGUAAACAAACCAAUAGCCUACAUGCCGCCAUGUUUAUGUCGGGGACCCACUGUUUCAGUGUGUGUGUAUUUACCAACGGUAGUUGAAUUUGCCUUGUACAUUUGUGGUGAGUGCUCCAGCAAACGCGUGGUGAGUGCUGAGACAAUAAAUAGUUUUAAGAAAAGGUUACAUAAAUUCAUGGAUAUGGUGAAGCUGUUCUUGUGUGAGAAUGACUUAAUUUUUUUUUUCUUAAAAUUUCUCUCCAAUAUUAGGGUGCGUCUUCCAAGAUGCAGCGUCUUGUAAGCUGUAAAAUACGGUAUGUAUGAUUGAGAUAAUCUAGCUAGUUUCAUGAUUAAAAAAUAUUUGUAGUUUAAUUGAAUGACGGCACUCUAAUUUAACCCUUUCCUUGCUAAGCGCUCACAACGAGACUAUCCUCGGGCACCCCAGCGGGGGAAGGGGAUCUCUUUGAGAUACAGCGGUUAGCUGUAUCUCAAAAACUAUUCAUCACAGCUACAAAACAAAAACACCAUUGGAAAGAGGAGGCCAAGAUCUAUAAGAUUCAGUUAUGUAAGCCUCUCCUGCAAAUGUACAGGCACUUUCAGGGUGUGUUUUUUGCUGCGAGUGCCACUGGCGCUCGCAGCGAGCUUUUAGCACCACCAGCAAGUGACGCUAGUGCUCGCUAUUUUAACCUCUGAAUCUCAAAAACUAUUCAUCACAGUUAAAAAACAAAAACCAUUGGAAAGAGGAGGCCAAGAUCUAUAAGAUUUGGUAAUGUAAGCCUCUCCUGCGAAUGUACAGACACGUUCAGGGGCUGUUGCCUGUGAAGACGUACAUUUACACGUGCGCGACGGUCAGCUGUAAGGCAACUACUGAGUAGAUCUCUUGAUGAUGGGGUUCUGGCAGGGCAGUAUUGCCAACUGCAAAAUUUACAACUAUUUGGUCAAAAUAUCAGUCAUGUGAUAGGUGAAGCUAUGCAAAAAUACCUCUAUAUGGACAACAACAUCCACCAGUUGCUUGUCCGUAGAUUUUCCGCACUAGGCUGAUAUGAUUUUCCACCAAAUUUAAUGGAAAACCCAUUGAAUUGGCAAUGCUGUGGGGUGAGAAAUAGUGUUGGAACACUCUUAUGCGGCAAAUUUGAGUGCGACUGGAGCUCGCAGCAAGCGUUUAGCACCACUGGCAAGUUAUGCUAGUGCUACUGCGAGCGUUUAGCAACAAAAGUGUUAACAAUCAAUGACAUCACCUAAGAAACAAAGUACAAUACUACUACUACCAGUUUUCAAGGGAGAGCGAGCCCUUCAAAACAAUACAGCAGCAGCAUUGAAGACGAUAGUAGGCUAUCUAUAAAGUAAUGUACACUUUCCGUCAUUAUUUCCUACAUAACUCAUUCACAUAGGCAUACUAAAUAUAAUCACAUAAAAAGUAUCUUCUACAGUAACUUCAUACAGGUAGGAAUCAUUGUACAGUAAACCCUCAGUUAUCCGGGUGCACCGUAUCCGACCUUGCCUGUAUCCGGGAGUUUAAAAAAAAAAAAAGGUUUUCAAAAAAAAAAAAAAAAAAAAAAAAAAAAAAAAAAUUUGUUGCGCGCUGUCAAAAGUCAUUCAAAUUGCCCGCAUGAUGCCUCUAAGCUCUGCCCGGGCGGUGUACCGCACCCGUAAGGCGUGCCCCAGCUUGCACGUAGCAAUGAUAUUGAUGUCCUUGUGUGAAGGUUCGCAGGAAAGCUGUGUGCUUCGCAGUACAACUGGCACGUAAACGUUUUUGCCGAGCGCUACCGACCAUAUCGAAGUGACGAGAGUCAAGGCAUUGCAGGUUUAAAUGGCGGGAGUGUCAAUUAAAGAACUGUUCAAAUGAAACACAGUGUGAACCCUAGCUUAAGCCUUGAUGGCUGCCUACCGUAAAUCCAGACUGGACUAGGUGAGUAGCGUUCCAUCCCCGUGGAGAAGGUGUGCAGGUCCGCUAGCACUACUGCGGGAGUUGGGGCGGAAUACGAAAUGCGGAUAAGUACCGCCCUCGGUCCGACAUGUGAAAGAAGGAUUUUACCAUGCUUACGGUAAGGCGAGUAAAGGGGCCCGCAGAGGUUCGGGAGUCCCGUGGGCCAGCCAGAUCUGGAGGUGCGGGCUGGCCGUAAAUCGUGGCUACUUUUUGUGGCUGGCCUCCCCGUGGUCCUGCUGGAUGCACUGUGCAGGGGGUACCUGCCCCCCCUGGCUCGCAAGGGCAACACAGUGUAAUUAAACAGCCACAGAUCACCACGCAAGCAGAUGCGGCAGGUUGUCAUUGACUCCUUGGUUAUCCUCCCCACUCACACUCAGAGUGGGGUGGCCUGGCGUACUUGCCCGGCGUCUAUGGGCCUUCAGGCUCCUUGCCGGGCUUCAAAGGGUAUUGCCCUGGGGUGGUUGCCUGGGCGUCCGUAUAGAAGCCUGCUUUGAGCACUUGAUCCCCGUUGCCGGCCUAUACCGUUUCGGGUAUCGCUCUGGUAUGCCUUCUGAUUGACCUGGGUGGUAAAGCUCGCGGUGCUCAUGGCCACGAGGUUGCUAACGCAGCUACGCAGCGAUAAAGCCGCGGGCGCGCACCUAAGAACAGCACAGAGUGAUCGGCCUUCCAGUUUGGUAAAACUAGACCCGUAAAAAGUUUCUUGUGGCAGUGCUGGGUCUGCUAGAAAACCUACGUGGUAAACAUGAUUGUGCAGACUUGGGCGGUUAAGCUGCCACAAAUACCUGGGCUUUGCUGGGUUGGGUCCAGGCCCCACUGCUAUGAUUGGCCAGGCAGGGGAACAUUAGCUGCUGCCUGUGAACACAGGGCUAGGCACCCCAGCAAUGGAUUAGCGGUUGAGGCUGUCGCGCCUAAUUGCCGAAUCCCAAGUAACAGAUCCUCCCAAGGUGCAGCAGGAGUGCGAUAAGCCAGGGAGAGAUUGCCGCGAGUGCUAACCGUGACGCCACUGCUUGAACCCUUUUCUCAGCGCCCAGAGCACGUCAAUCACGCACAUUUCACUCCCUGGUUCAGACUGACUGCUACAAAGCCAUGGGGCGUACCAUAGUAUGAGUAUGGACAGAAGCAUCUAUGCAGUACUCUGCCGUUGCCUAUAUGGCAGGCCAUGAUUGAAAGCUGGGUUUUCAGGUCCGUAGACUUAACCUACGCCAUAUCCGGGUUUUUCCCAUAUCCAGGUGCCCCAUUGGCUCCAUUAAGGAGACCGACUGAGUAAAAUCCCAUCUUCUUUCCUUAUCACCCAAAUUGCAGAUUUGAUUUUUUGAUGAUUUGUUUUGCAUAAGUGAAUCUAUAGUGAAUGUUUGAGCAACUUUGGUCCAUAUUUCGUUUCUUUUUUAAUCAAAAUGCCAAAAUAUAAAAAAAAACAUUUGGAUGAAUACUGACUAGGCUUUCCUUUAUAAUUCCUUGCAAAAUUGUCUGACAGUAGUUUACAUCGUUGGUAAGAAAGCUGUUGUGGCAGAAUGGUUAUUUUCUCUUUAGUUUAUGAGCAAAAAAGAAAUAUUCCAUUUUCCCCUGUUUAAUUAUAUCUUUAAAAAUGUAAAAGUUCCAAAGCAAAUUUUUAAAAUUCUGAGACGAAAGAAAAAAAGCCAUUUUAAUGCUCUUUCCACCAGUACCUUAUUCAUUAAAAUCGAAUGAUAAAUGUAGGAGUUAUUCACCAAUUUAUUGUAAAAAGUUAGUUUUGAGUUACGGGGCUUUAAAGUUACGUAAGUACAUAUUGAUGUUCCUCGUCCAUGAAUGGCCACACUGUGCCAAAUAUUGUUAGUACCAGGUAUUGUAAUGUUGUUGUCUUGCUAUUUAGGUGAUCUUGAGUCAUGAACAUGGCACCUGAUCCCACUUCUUGUAGAAGUAUUACUCACUCAAAGGUGAGGGUGUCAGGGAGCCUCCGCCUCCCUCAUUGUUUCCAGUCUUUGUUUGCAUCGCUUGGUGUAGAAACUAUCUGGCUGGUAGGAUUUGCUUCCUUCCUUUUCUGUUUUUAUCUUCUUUCAUGGUUGUGAUCUGUCAGAAGCUCUGUCUCCUUGUCUUGUAUUCAUUUUUACUUUUUUUUUUUUGUUGUUGUAUGGUGAGAUGGGCUCUUCUCUCUUGAAACUGAAGUAGAAGGCUGUGGUAAUGAUGGUGUUGAUGCAGAAGCAUCAGGAACAGCAGUCGUGGCAGCAGGGAAUGAGGGAGAGGUGGUGGCGAGUGAGGCAGCAGCGGUGGGUGGUGGAGAGUCAGGCCUCGCUGCUCGAGCAUGGCGUGCCUUCUUCAAGCAGACAAUCCUCUUGACAAUGGCAGCCUUUCUUCUUGGCAUUUGAACUGGAUGAAGCGAGCAUCAGCAGCAGUUUAGUCAUAAGAGGAAAAAAAAAAGGCAGUGUGGGGGGAGAGUGUACACACCUACGUCUAUCCUCUGUGUGACAAGGACACGCACUGAUGAAUUAUGGUGAGAGCUACGGAACAGUAUUGUCCCGUGCGCACAGGAGAAAAUAUCAGACACCACCAGAGAGAAAACUAUUCGUGUCUAAAUACUACAGUGUUUUUCUUACAAUUUUUUUUCUAAAGGCAUCUUCUGCCCCACGUGACUGACUGAGCGCGCGGGGUGAUAUAAACGGCAAUUUAAGCGACCAUUUAAACUCGGUCGGUAAAAAUUCUCCCUGUAAUGUUUUCUCUAUGCCCUUAGGGUGAUCAUUGACGAAGUUUCUCAUUUUCAAUAUUUUUUCGCAUUUUUCACCUCGGUCGGUCUCCUUAACCCGUAAAGUGUUUAGUACGUAUAUAUACGUUCGGGAGGGAAAGUGUUUAGUACGUAUAUAUACGAUCAUCGUUUUCUUUUACUUCAUGGCACCUAAACCUGUAGAAAUGGUUCAAGAUGUCUUUUCUAUGCCUAAAUAUGAUUUUGAAAGCUCACUCUCAUUUUUAUUGUAUUGCUGUGGUCUAUUACAUAGAAUGUAUCCAUGACCACGAAUGAUUUAUUGAAAAAAUAGGUAUAUUUAUAAAAAUAUGUCAGUGGUGUCAUAAUUACUUAUCAAUAUACUCAAAAUACUGUUCAGUAGA